rnacentral:rRNA from 1 species
GACGAACGCUGGCGGCGUGCUUAACACAUGCAAGUCGAACGAUGAAGCUAGAGCUUGCUCUGGUGGAUUAGUGGCGAACGGGUGAGUAACACGUGAGUAACCUGCCCCGAACUCUGGGAUAACUGCUGGAAACGGUAGCUAAUACUGGAUACGACCAACGAAGGCAUCUUCUGUUGGUGGAAAGAAUUUCGGUUCGGGAUGGACCCGCGGCCUAUCAGCUUGUUGGUGAGGUAACGGCUCACCAAGGCGACGACGGGUAGCCGGCCUGAGAGGGUGAUCGGCCACACUGGGACUGAGAAACGGCCCAGACUCCUACGGGAGGCAGCAGUGGGGAAUAUUGCACAAUGGGCGCAAGCCUGAUGCAGCAACGCCGCGUGAGGGACGACGGCCUUCGGGUUGUAAACCUCUUUUAGUAGGGAAGAAGCGAAAGUGACGGUACCUGCAGAAAAAGCACCGGCUAACUACGUGCCAGCAGCCGCCGUAA